rnacentral:rRNA from 1 species
AGUGAACGCUGGCGGUUGGCUUAACACAUGCAAGUCGAACGGCAGCACAGUAAGUGCUUGCUCUUAUGGGUGGCGAGUGGCGGUCGGGUGAGGAUUGCAACCGUACCUAUUUUUUUGUGGUGGUUAACGUAAGCAAACUUACGUUACUACCGCAUUUGACCUACGCGUGAUUGCAUGGUAUCUUCGGAUCUUGCUGGCAUUAAUGCGCGGCUGUUGGAUUAGUUAGUUGGUUGGGUAAUGACCGACCAAGUCGACGAUCGGUAGCUGGACUGAGAGGAUGAUCGGCCACACGGGAACUGAGACACGGUCCAGACUCCUACGGGAGGCAGCAGUAGGGAAUAUUAGGCAAUGGGCGGAAGCCUGAUCCAGCAAGACCGCGUGUGUGAAGAAGGCCUUCGGGUUGUAAAGCCCUUUUGUUGGGAAAGAAAAGCAGUAGAAUAAUACGCCGCUGUUGUGACGGUACCCAAUGAAUAAGCACCGGCUAACUACGUG